AGUGAACGCUGGCGGUAGGCCUAACACAUGCAAGUCGAACGGCAGCACAGUAAGAGCUUGCUCUUACGGGUGGCGAGUGGCGGACGGGUGAGGAAUACAUCGGAAUCUACUUUUUCGUGGGGGAUAACGUAGGGAAACUUACGCUAAUACCGCAUACGACCUACGGGUGAAAGCAGGGGAUCUUCGGACCUUGCGCGAUUGAAUGAGCCGAUGUCGGAUUAGCUAGUUGGCGGGGUAAAGGCCCACCAAGGCGACGAUCCGUAGCUGGUCUGAGAGGAUGAUAGGCCACACGGAACCGGAGACACGGCCCAGCCCCUUAGGGGAGGAAGCAUGGGGAAAUUUUGGCCAAUGGGGGAAGCCUUGACCCAGCAUUCCGGGUGGGUUGAAGAAGCCUUCCGGUUGUAAAACCCUUUUUUUGGGGAAAAAAAAGAGCAAGUUUAUUCCCCGGUUUUCUGGCCGUAACCAAAAGAUUAACAACGGCUUACUUCGUU
rnacentral:rRNA from 1 species